rnacentral:lncRNA from 1 species
UAUUCGUCGCAAGGCGGAGGACGAUGUCUCCUAUGCGGUGGAGGAGGAUGUCUCCUGUGCGGAGGAGGUGAGUGUAUCCUCGGCGGCGGCGGCGAUGGAUGAGGAGGGGGCGGAGAUAGGGAGGGUGGUGGAGGCGGUGGUGAUGAAGGUGGUGGAGGCGGUGGAGAUGAAGGUGGUGGAGGCGGUGGAGAUGAAGUUGGUGGAGGCGGUGGAGAUGAAGGUGGUGGAGGCGGUGAAUUAGGAGGGGGCGGAGGUGGACUGGGAGGUGGAGGAGGUGGAGAGGGGAAUGGUGGCGGAGGCGGAGAUGAAAUAUUAAAUGAGGGAGGUGGCGGCGGACUAGAAGGAGGAGGGGGUGGAGAAGGGAAUAGCGGAGGGGAGUCGACCAAAGACAACAUUCGCCGCAAGUUUUUCUUCAAAGCUCCCGACGACCGCGAGUUGUCUGCACAUGGCCAGAAACUAGCUCACCAUCACAAUUGACUUCAAUAAGCGCACUCACAAUCAGAAAGUAAAAAAGAAUCCACAGUUUUCAACUGCGGUCCAAGAACAGAUGAUGACUAGAGUGGACAAAGACCAAUGCCACUCAAACCAUCCGCUCAGGAACAGCUCUCCCUCCAGGCUGUCACGAUCACUACCCAUCUCUAAAAAUCCCAUCCGAAGUACCCAUCCAGUCCCUAAACUACGACAUUCAACACAACCACCCCUACAUUACAAUCCAAUCACCAGAUCGGGGAAAAUCUUCAAUCUCUCCACUCCAUCCUCAACCUGAACAUGCCCACAACAUGCAGUGCUCAUCCCACAAGCAAGCGACGACAGCCAAUUACCAGAAUCACUCCCAGCUUCGAGAAAACGGUGAGGCAGAACACGGUAUCCAGGGAGAGCUUGGGAAGAGCAAGCAGAAACCAGGAGCAGGAGAACCACCGCCAAGGGCAACGACGAAGACGCCAUCCUGGCAGCGAUCAAAGCUCCCCGCAGCAGCCCAGCUGCGGCACCCGAUCACCACAAGUAGACGGAUCUUGAAGGCCCGAUGAUCCCCUGUCGCCAGGAAGUCAACAGCACCUG